rnacentral:tRNA from 1 species
CAUUAUGAAGCUAAACUAGCACUAGCCUUUUAAGCUAGAGAAUGAGAGCUAAUAAUUCUCUCCAUAAUGA